AUUAAUUAAAUUGGCACACUAUGAAUCAUUAGUUAGGCAUUAGUAAAUAGUCAAUUCAUAAUUUAUAAAGCAUUGUCCC